CGGGCCUCUCCUCCCUCUUCCUCGCCCUGCGGUCCCUCCAUGGCCAUGUGCCUGUCACUUCGUGGGGACUGACACCUCCAUGCUGAGCAGCACACAAGCACAGCAGCUGGGGAGGAGGGCCAGGGCGGCGGAAUGAUGGAUGAGGCUAUAGUGCCUCCCUUCCCCGCUGCGGCUGUGGUGAGGAGAUCUCCCCUCGAAGAAGCCUGAUAUUUUCCAGGAAUUUCCUGAGGGGAGGGGACCAAGCAUUCCAGAAUGAGAGCCAGCUGUGGAGUUGAGGCCUGGGGGUGAGGAGCCGGGCUCUGGGCUUCCUGGCUGAGUCAGCGACCAUCCCCAGCUUUGCUCCCUUGCCUGCAAAGCAGCCAGCCUGAGGGAGGAGCCAGAAGAUGGAUGGAAGGCUGCAGAAGGGGAGAAGCCUCCGGCCGGCCCUGGGGGCUCAGGAAGACAGAGGAGGCCAGGCUGGAUAUUUUAUCUCUUCAGGAUUCCAGAGCACAAGACAAAUGGCCUCAUGUCCGGCAGGGAGGUGUAAUUCAUCCUCUGAGCUUGACGGAGAGAUCAUUGACAAGGGGUCUACAUUUUUAAACCACAAGGAAAAGAAACCCAGAGCUACCAAGAAUAAUAUUUUAUUGACUUGGAACCAGUUUUGGAAUUUAUAUUUUUAACCAACUACCCAGUGAAAACCAUUUCCUCCUCACCAUGGACUCCAUCCAGAGACUGCACCCAUCUCUCCCACGUCAACAGUCCUGUGUCCUUGGCAGAGGACAGUGCUCUCAUUCUGGGCCUUUCCCUUCUUCCUCGGCCAAAGCCUACUCCUGCACCUCCCCACAGCUAAUAAACCGGCUGAGUUCUCCGAUGUGGGGAAAGCC
rnacentral:lncRNA from 1 species